rnacentral:rRNA from 1 species
UACGUAGGGGGCAAGCGUUGUCCGGAAUUAUUGGGCGUAAAGCGCGUGUAGGCGGCUCGGUAAGUCCGCUGUGAAAGUCCAAGGCUCAACCUUGGAAUGCCGGUGGAUACUGUCGAGCUCGAGUCCGGAAGAGGCGAGUGGAAUUCCUGGUGUAGCGGUGAAAUGCGCAGAUAUCAGGAGGAACACCGGUGGCGAAGGCGGGUCUCUGGGCAGUAACUGACGCUGAGGAGCGAAAGCGUGGGUAGCAAACAGG